UACAGAGGGUGCGAGCGUUAAUCGGAAUUACUGGGCGUAAAGCGUGCGUAGGCGGCCAACUAAGUCGGAUGUGAAAUCCCCAAGCUUAACUUGGGAACUGCAUCCGAUACUGGAUGGCUUGAAUCCGGGAGAGGGAUGCAGAAUUCCAGGUGUAGCGGUGAAAUGCGUAGAUAUCUGGAGGAAUACCGGUGGCGAAGGCGGCAUCCUGGACCGGCAUUGACGCUGAUGUGCGAAAGCUAGGGGAGCAAACGGGG
rnacentral:rRNA from 1 species